rnacentral:rRNA from 1 species
GCAUAACGCGAAGAACCUUACCAGCCCUUGACAUGUCCAGGACCGGUCGCAGAGAUGUGACCUUCUCUUCGGAGCCUGGAGCACAGGUGCUGCAUGGCUGUCGUCAGCUCGUGUCGUGAGAUGUUGGGUUAAGUCCCGCAACGAGCGCAACCCUCGCCCUUAGUUGCCAUCAUUCAGUUGGGCACUCUAAGGGGACUGCCGGUGAUAAGCCGAGAGGAAGGUGGGGAUGACGUCAAGUCCUCAUGGCCCUUACGGGCUGGGCUACACACGUGCUACAAUGGCGGUGACAAUGGGAUGCAAAGGCGCGAGCCCUAGCAAAUCUCAAAAAGCCGUCUCAGUUCGGAUUGGGCUCUGCAACUCGAGCCCAUGAAGUUGGAAUCGCUAGUAAUCGUGGAUCAGCAUGCCACGGUGAAUACGUUCCCGGGUCUUGUACACACCG